GUGCCCACUUUGGCAGCACACAUACUAAAAUUGGAAUGAUACAGAGAAGACUGCCAUGGCCCCUGCACAAGGAUGACAUGCAAAUUAGUGAAGUGUUCCAUGUUUUU